rnacentral:misc_RNA from 1 species
CUCUCGGCUCGCGACGCAAAAGACUGCGAAACGCAGCUAGAGGAAACCCGGUCGCGAGUGGGUUUCGCGGACACUUAACAGGGACGAUGGUGGGCCGAUGCUUUUUACGCGGACGCGAUCGCAUAUUUCAUGUCACUUCGACUCGAUCGCUUUUUCGUUUUUUUUUAUUCUUCUGUCAGCUCCGCUCUGUUUCUAUAUGUCGAAUAUACUUAUAGGAUUUGUGUACCAAAUUCUUGGCUGAUUCUAAAGGACCAAAUCCGCCAGAGGUAAGGGCAAGAAAUUAGAUAAUGUUUUGGAGAGUAAAGAAUUUAGCGAUACGUAUGAACAUGGAGGAAUAGUUGGAUGGUAAAAAUAUCAAAGGGGAAGAACUAGUUAUACAAAAAUCACCGAUGGACUGAUACGCAACUUGAAAAAAAUGAUAAUUCAAUUUCGUCGUUCGUAUAAUUUAGUAAACAGGAUAAUUGCUUUAAUGAGACAUAAAACAAAAAUUCCCUACGACGACUAUCUCUUAAAUCGUUUAACAAGGACAGAUACCAUAAACUUCUUU